rnacentral:rRNA from 1 species
GGGUGCUAUACAUGCAGUCGAACGCUUCUUUUUCCACCGGAGCUUGCUCCACCGGAAAAAGAGGAGUGGCGAACGGGUGAGUAACACGUGGGUAACCUGCCCAUCAGAAGGGGAUAACACUUGGAAACAGGUGCUAAUACCGUAUAACAAUCAAAACCGCAUGGUUUUGAUUUGAAAGGCGCUUUCGGGUGUCGCUGAUGGAUGGACCCGCGGUGCAUUAGCUAGUUGGUGAGGUAACGGCUCACCAAGGCCACGAUGCAUAGCCGACCUGAGAGGGUGAUCGGCCACAUUGGGACUGAGACACGGCCCAAACUCCUACGGGAGGCAGCAGUAGGGAAUCUUCGGCAAUGGACGAAAGUCUGACCGAGCAACGCCGCGUGAGUGAAGAAGGUUUUCGGAUCGUAAAACUCUGUUGUUAGAGAAGAACAAGGAUGAGAGUAACUGUUCAUCCCUUGACGGUAUCUAACCAGAAAGCCACGGCUAACUACGUGCCAGCAGCCGCGGUAAUACGUAGGUGGCAAGCGUUGUCCGGAUUUAUUGGGCGUAAAGCGAGCGCAGGCGGUUUCUUAAGUCUGAUGUGAAAGCCCCCGGCUCAACCGGGGAGGGUCAUUGGAAACUGGGAGACUUGAGUGCAGAAGAGGAGAGUGGAAUUCCAUGUGUAGCGGUGAAAUGCGUAGAUAUAUGGAGGAACACCAGUGGCGAAGGCGGCUCUCUGGUCUGUAACUGACGCUGAGGCUCGAAAGCGUGGGGAGCAAACAGGAUUAGAUACCCUGGUAGUCCACGCCGUAAACGAUGAGUGCUAAGUGUUGGAGGGUUUCCGCCCUUCAGUGCUGCAGCUAACGCAUUAAGCACUCCGCCUGGGGAGUACGACCGCAAGGUUGAAACUCAAAGGAAUUGACGGGGGCCCGCACAAGCGGUGGAGCAUGUGGUUUAAUUCGAAGCAACGCGAAGAACCUUACCAGGUCUUGACAUCCUUUGACCACUCUAGAGAUAGAGCUUCCCCUUCGGGGGCAAAGUGACAGGUGGUGCAUGGUUGUCGUCAGCUCGUGUCGUGAGAUGUUGGGUUAAGUCCCGCAACGAGCGCAACCCUUAUUGUUAGUUGCCAUCAUUCAGUUGGGCACUCUAGCAAGACUGCCGGUGACAAACCGGAGGAAGGUGGGGGAUGACGUCAAAUCAUCAUGCCCCUUAUGACCUGGGCUACCACCGUGCUACAAUGGGGAAGUACAACG